rnacentral:lncRNA from 1 species
CUCUCCAAGCCUCAGUUUCUCAUUGUAAAAUGAGAAGAAUAAUAAUACAUUCUUCACAUUUGAUAUACGAAUGAAUGAAAUAUUAUGGAUAAAUUAUUUACUGUGCCAGGCACUGUGCUAAAUAGCCAACAGAUAUUAGCCUUCGUUUUUCUUAGUGAAGAGCUCAUAAUCAAAAGAGAAGGUAAGCACAAAGACAAAAACAAGACUUAAAAAGCUACAGAAACAUGACUGGGCACAGUGGCUCACGCCUGUAAUCCCAGCACUUUGAGAGGCUGAGGCAGCCGGAUCACAAGGUCAGGAGUUCGAGACAAGCCUGACCAAUAUGGUGAAACCCCGUCUCCACUAAAAAUAUAAAAAUUAGCUGGGCGUGGUGGCGUGUGCCUGUAAUCCCAGCUAUUCAAGAGGCUGAGGCAGGAGAACUGCUUGAACCUGGGAGGUGGAGGUUGCAGUGAGCCAAGAUUGUGCCUUUGCACUCCAGCCUGGGCAACAGAGCGAGACUCCAUCUCAAAAAAACAAAAACAAAAAGCGUAAAAUUGAAUAGAAGUGCUAAAGCUAAAGAAAGUCCUAAAAUAAUUGGAAUAGGCAAGUUUCUGAGGCUUCAUGAAAGAGGUAAUUCUCAAGCAUAUGGAAGAAGAUUGAUAUAAUUCAACUUGUGUAGUCAAGGUGUUCCAGGUUUAGAGAGUGACAUAAAGAUACUUAGGAGUCGUUAUAGACUUCUAAACAAAAAAACGAUUUAGUAGCUGACUUUUCCUGACACAAUGCAAAAGACAAGUUGACUAAGUAAAAAUAGCUCUAGCCUAGAAUUACAUAAAUUAAUCCAAAUGGUAAAGGCAGCCCUGAAGGCCCAGCAGAUGAGAAAACUGCAGAACUUGGCAGUAGACCCAGUGGGUAACCAAUAAGAUAUAGUCAGAAGUGAUUACAAAGGUGUUGGGAGCAAAUUAGAUGGUCAAGGGAUCCGGAAGAGAGAAAUCAUGAGGUAGGUUUUCUUCUUUGAAGGUGGGGAAAGAUCAAGUGCAGACUGAGCUGUGGCCAACGUUUGCAGACCAGGAAUCCACACUAGCUCUAAUCAGAGAGCCCUUGGUGUGCGGGAACUGCCAGUUUGCCGACGUGAAAAGAGUCCCAGACUGGGUAAUGGUGAGCCCUGAAGUCGCACCCCAGCUCUGCCACUCAGUGAGCACGGCAACAUCCCUAAUCCUGACCAGCCAUGGAGAGGUUCGGUUCUUACAAGGAAAAUGAGUGAAUGUGGGAAUGGCUCACCACAUUGUGAAAACAAAACUCACAUCCUGCUGAUGGUUGGCUGAGGACUGUCAUGUCCACAUACAAAGAAAAGCAUGUGGCACAGUUUUAGGACAAAGGUGAGCAGAGAUCCACCGUGGAAAGGGGCAUAUUUUCUUAUAGAGAGACCAUCCAAGGCAUGCCCCUCGGUAAGCAGUGUUGGUGGGUGACCACGGUCACACGCAUGGAGGCUUGCUUUCCCC